ACUCAAAGGAAUUGACGGGGGCCCGCACAAGCGGUGGAUCAUGUGGUUUAAUUCGAAGCAACGCGAAGAACCUUACCUGGAUUUGACAUCCUCUGACAUCCGUAGAGAUACGGCUUUCGUAGCAAUACGACAGAGAGACAGGUGCUGCAUGGCUGUCGUCAGCUCGUGUGGUGACAUGUUGGGUUAAGUCCCGCAACGAGCGCAACCCCUGUCCUUAGUUGCCAGCAUUAAGUUGGGCUCUCUAGGGAGACUGCCGUGGUUAACACGGAGGAAGGUGGGGAUGACGUCAAGUCCUCAUGGCCUUUAUAUCCAGGGCGACACACGUGAUACAAUGGUCGGUACAGAGGGAAGCGAAACCGCGAGGUGGAGCCAAUCUCAAAAAGCCGAUCUCAGUUCGGAUUGGAGUCUGCAAUUCGACUCCAUGAAGUUGGAAUCGCUAGUAAUCGCGGAUCAGCACGCCGCGGUGAAUACGUUCCCGGGCCUUGCACACACCGCCCGU
rnacentral:rRNA from 1 species